AAUAGAUACCCCGGUAGUCCACGCUGUAAACGAUGAGUACUAGGUGUUGGGGGAGACAUCCUUCAGUGCCGCAGUUAACACAUUAAGUACUCCGCCUGGGGAGUACGGUCGCAAGACUGAAACUCAAAGGAAUUGACGGGGGCCCGCACAAGCAGCGGAGCAUGUGGUUUAAUUCGACGCAACGCGAAGAACCUUACCAGGGCUUGACAUCCCUUUGACAGAUCUAGAGAUAGGUCAUUCUCUUCGGAGACAGAGGAGACAGGUGGUGCAUGGUUGUCGUCAGCUCGUGUCGUGAGAUGUUGGGUUAAGUCCCGCAACGAGCGCAACCCUUGCCUUUAGUUGCCAGCAGGUAAAGCUGGGCACUCUAGAGGGACUGCCGGUGACAAACCGGAGGAAGGUGGGGAUGACGUCAAAUCAUCAUGCCCCUUAUGUCCUGGGCUACACACGUGCUACAAUGGCCGGUACAACGGGAAGCGAGUUCGUAAGGAUGAGCGAAUCCCAAGAAGCCGGUCCCAGUUCGGAUUGUGGG
rnacentral:rRNA from 1 species